AACGAACGCUGGCGGCAUGCCUAACACAUGCAAGUCGAACGAGACCUUCGGGUCUAGUGGCGCACGGGUGCGUAACGCGUGGGAACCUGCCCUUAGGUUCGGAAUAACUCCCCGAAAGGGGUGCUAAUACCGGAUAAUGUCUUCGGACCAAAGAUUUAUCGCCUUUGGAUGGGCCCGCGUUGGAUUAGCUAGUUGGUAGGGUAAAAGCCUACCAAGGCGAUGAUCCAUAGCUGGUCUGAGAGGAUGAUCAGCCACACUGGGACUGAGACACGGCCCAGACUCCUACGGGAGGCAGCAGUGGGGAAUAUUGGACAAUGGGCGAAAGCCUGAUCCAGCAAUGCCGCGUGAGUGAUGAAGGCCUUAGGGUUGUAAAGCUCUUUUACCCGGGAUGAUAAUGACAGUGCCGGGAGAAUAAGCUCCGGCUAACUCCGUG
rnacentral:rRNA from 1 species